rnacentral:rRNA from 1 species
GAAGCUGCGGCAGCGACACUGUGUGUUGUUGGGUAGGGGAGCGUUCUGUAAGCCUGUGAAGGUGUGUCGUGAGGCAUGCUGGAGGUAUCAGAAGUGCGAAUGCUGACAUAAGUAACGAUAAAGCGGGUGAAAAGCCCGCUCGCCGGAAGACCAAGGGUUCCUGUCCAACGUUAAUCGGGGCAGGGUGAGUCGACCCCUAAGGCGAGGCCGAAAGGCGUAGUCGAUGGGAAACAGGUUAAUAUUCCUGUACUUGGUGUUACUGCGAA